UGGUGUACUCCAUGUACAGCCGCAUGUCUGCAGACACAGUGAAGGGGAACCUGAUGACGCUGGGGGUGGACUUCUUCGUCCUGGAGGAUUCCUGGUGCACCCGGAGAACCAGAGUGCUUCAGAGGAUGGCUGAAUUCACAAAACGUGGAGAAGACCGAGAGGGAGAAGUUGGCCGGUUACUACAUUUCACAAAAAAUACAGGACCUUGUGAAAAGCGGAAAGAACCAGUUGAAGGAAACUGUUUAAAAAUAUGAAGUAAUGGGUGUUUUGAAAAUGUUUUCAAAUUUGUGUUAAUGUUCAUUGUGUGUUAUAAAUUAUUUUCCUGCUUCUAAUCA